GAACGACGAAUAAACCCUCGCGAACGGAAAAGGCCAUCGGUGACGGAGUGGCCAAGCAGAGGCGAAUUAUCCACCGCUCGGAAGGGAGUAGAGGAGUGUGGGAUCGAAUCACGCAUUCUAGCGAUUUGAUUACCGUGGAUCUCUGGUUCGAGAAGAUUGAAGGAACUUGAAAAACCUUGAACUCUCAGCGCGAAAAUUAGGUCACGCAAUUAGAAAACUCCAAAC
rnacentral:misc_RNA from 1 species